AAAAAGAAAAAGAAAGGAAGCCACUAUCAUAUCAUCUUCUCCACUGUCGAAACUGGAGAAAGAAGAAAAGAGAAAAGCUUGGCUAAGGUUCGGCCAUUGGGAGUUAGAUUAAGGUUAGGUUCUUUUGGUUCGAUCAUCAACUUCAGCAUCCAGCGACAAUCUCGGACUUAAGUGUUGAUGAUGUUUUUAGUUUGGUCAUGACAUGUACCUAAGAGGGUUAUAUGGUUGUAUAUGUUAUGCUUUGGAUUAAUUUGGUAUUUUGAAUGUUAUGUGAAUAUGUGUAUAUAUAAAUGUUGGUAAUGAUCUUUGUAGUUGAUAACCUUGUUGAAUUAUUUAGGUAUGUAUGUUUAAUUGCUUGUAUGGUGAUUAGGUAAUAUGUCUUGAAAUAGGCUUAGUAAAAUGAAUAGUAUGCAUAUGCUAAGUUUGAAAGAAUAUGGUAAGGUUUGGUAUAUGUUUGUGUGGUUGACAUUAAUGCCAUCUUAAGAUUGUUUUGAAUGAUUAAAUGAUGUGUGUCAUGUUGAUUGUAUUGUGGCACUUGAUGGUAUAAGCAUACUUUCGUACCUAUAAUGCAUUUUGAUUGAUGAAAUUUGGUAAUUGGGAUUGAUGUGAUUUUGGUGAACAAAUUGGUAUGAAACUUUGGUAUGUUUAUACAUAAAGGGUUAGUGAUGAAUUGUUGAAUUGAUGUACUAAUUGUGGCAUAUUGGUUAGGCACUUAAUAUGGUUGUUAUAAGUGGUGUUUUGGAGCAUGUUUUGAUGCUUUUGAUUAGGUUGAGAGUUAGUUUAAGGCUUGUGGCUUAAGUGAAUUAGGGAUUAUAAAACUUGUUUUGGAAGGUUUCUUUAAGUACCCACAAUCUAACACACGACCGUGUGCCAUACAUGGGCAUAUGGCACGGCUGUGUGGUCUAUAUAUUUUGGGUGAUAAUUGGUGCAUACGGUCACAGUCUCUCACACGGUCCAGCCACACGACCGUGUGAAUGUUUGUAAGAUUUUACAAUUAAGUACACACAUGGUCUCAGUUUGUUACACGACCUAACGACACGGCCGUGUGACUUUAUAUUACACGAUCUUACUUCUUUCACACGAUUGGGCUACACAGCUGUGUGUUUCAACCCCACACGACCUCAGCCUUUCACACGGUAAGGGGACAUAACCGUGUGACCCCUGUUUACAAAAUUUUCCUAUUUUUCUAUAAUUGUUUCAAAUUGAUCCCUGAUUGAUGUCAAGUGAAUUUAAAGCUUUCAUAAGCUCAAUUUAAACCCAAAAUUGUUUGUAAUGCAUGUUAUAAUCAAUCAUAGGUGAUAAAUUGAUAUUGAAUUGAAAUUUUGAACUAUGAAUUGCAUGUAAAUGCUCCGUAUUUGUUUGUAGAACCUUAUCGCUCGAGUCCGGUGGUCGGACUGGGUGUAGGGUGUUACAUGUAAACUCUAAUCAACUUUUCUAUUGACUGACCUUGGACUCCUAAGAUUUUAUUGCUUGAACAUUUUUGCAAACAUUGAAAGUGUUUGUCAAGGUUUUUUUUGUAGCGACCUGGUUUUCAGUGGUCUCGAAAAAUGCAAUUUAAGGACCCCAUUUCAAUAAAUCGAGUUCGUAAAUAGUAAAUAGGUAUACUUAUGAAACUAUUAUAUUGAUUAUAUUUGAAGAAGUGAUUGGAUCAAACAAGAUUAUUUUUCAAGGAUUUUAAUGUGAUCGACUUACUUUAUAUAUUGAGAUAUGCUAUCACAAAAGAUAUGGACCGACUUUAUAAAGAUUUAUUUAAAUCUCUUGUAUCCUAAGUAUAAUUGGUUUGAUGAGAUUUGGAAAGAUAAUUCUAGAUUGAAGUUUGCUUAGUGAAGCUAAGUUUUUGCUCUAAAUGUGGAAGCCUUAUUCAAUAUUGAUACAAGUUUUUAUUGUUGAGAAAAUUAUGUGAGCAAUGCCUCAUGCAAUGCCACCAACAGUGCCCACUACACUUGGUAUUGCGCAAAUUACAAAACUUGCCUUAUAGAGUUGUCAAUCUUUUCAACCAAAUCUCUUGGGUAAUGAAUUAGAUGAUUUAGUGGACGUACGUUGGCCCAUAUUUGAAGAUCCAUAGUGUGGAGCAACAAAUCUUUGAAGAUUGGAUUGAAUCAAAUCGGAUUAAGCAAUCAGAUUCUGGUUUAAUGAGAUUAGGUCAGAUAACUUGAAACAUAUCUUGAGAAUUCUCGACUUAUCUUGAACUUUAUGGAGAUUCUCAACGUUGAUUGUGCUGCUAUUUUUGUAAGAAUUUUUUUAUUGUAAUUUAUUUUCAUCUUAGAAAACCUUAUACUCUUAUAUAUUAGAGGCUUGUGUAAGUUAAAAGGUGCAGAUAGUUUUAACACUUAUCUAUUCAUUAGGAAUUUAUCUUUUGAGAGUACAUUCUUGUAAAUAAACAGGUGAGCCACUUGAUUUAAUGUCCAAUUUUUCAGGGGGAAAACUUAGAGGAGAGUAAUCUAGAUCUUUUAAGUACAAAAGUGAGGCUCCUAAACUGAUGUAUGUUAAGACUUAAAUCACUUGUAUGAAGUUGAAAGAUAGUGGAUCAUCUCUCUAAAUAAAGCCUCACAAACAAAAGGAAACCAAACUGUGUAAACAAUUAGGGUGCGUUUGUUUGCUGUAAAAUGGUUUUCGGAAAACAUUUUACACCAUUUCCGGUGUUUGUUUGGGGGAAAUGAAUUCCUUUAGGAAAACAUUUUCCAAACACGGUAAAAUCAAACCCAUUCCUCCGGAAAUUGUCUUACGGAUUCAAAAUUGGUAAGACAUUUUCCAUUCUUCUCUAAGCAAACAUUUUCCAUUCUCUUCUAAGCAGCAGACAUUUUCCAUUCCUCAAAGCUUCCACCUCUCCUCAUCUCUGCCUCGCCAUUUCUGUCUCUCAGCUUCAUCUUCCUUCUCCAUAUUUCUGCUCCAUAGAUCUGUCGGUGAGUCACCCAAAAGCUUCAAGUUUUUUAUGAAAUUGGUGGUUUUUUGUUGGAUUUUCCAGAAAUCGGAAAAAGGAUGAAAACUCAUCCUCUUCUUCCCUACACCACUCGACCCCCAAUUCUUCACUAAAGGUAAGCUUUCCCUUUUAAUUUUCUUGCUAUUUUCUCUAUAAAAAUCUCAACAUUUCUACCUUCAAAGCUUCAAUUAGUAGAUGCGAUUGACCCGAUUCAUUUCUUAUCUCUUAUCAUUUUUUAUUUGUUUAUUCCUUAUUUGUUCAUUUGUUUAUUUCUUGUUGUGUAAUUUUAGGGUUGCUGAAUUUCUUAAACGAAUUAAGCUUAAUACUCUAAUGUUCACUUCUUUUUCGUAUAGUUAAUGAUUAUCAUCAUUUACGUUACCGUGGAUUUUAGAAACCCCAUAACUAUUCUUACUAUUGUUGUAUUGUGUUUCCAUUGUCGAUUUUAUUAUCUACACUUAAAGGCAUUCAUGGCUGUCAGUUAACUUGCUUGGGGCGUUUUUGAACUUUCAUAUAGGAUAGUAAUCGUGUACUUAAUAAGCAUGCAGCAGAUUAGUAGCGUCCCAUGUGGAGAUUUUAGCUUCACUAGUGGUGCACUAAAUAAUCCUUUUUUUUUUGUCAUGGAGACAAUAGAUUCUUUUAUGUUAAGCAUACUAGCAAAUAGCGUAUUCCAUUGCAAUUCCUCCUAGGCUCCUGCUAAUGAAUGAUAUGGAUGUUUGAGUUAUGAUUUAAUUUUCUUGCUAUUUUCUCUAUAAAAAUCUCAACAUUUCUACCUUCAAAGCUUCAGUUUUUAGCUAAGGUUUUUUUUUUAGCGAUAAACUAUUUUUUUGCUAAUGCUGUUGGAAUGGUAUAUAGGUUGUUAAUUUAAAAUGCUUUAAAUAAUGACAAUUCAAUGCAGUAUUAUUUGUUUAGUUAUUUCAAGGAUAUCAUACUUUUUUGCAGGGCUAUUGAGCGCCCAAUUUUUUCAACACUUACAGGACUAUUGUGUGAUCUGUAUUCACUUAUUCCUCCUCUUCUAGUUGCAACACAUAAGAAACUCAAGAAUGGGUAAGGGCAACAAAGAAUGGACCUCCAAGCAAUUCAGGUGGACAAAAUCGAUGGAACAUGUUUUCCUUGAAAUUCUAGCAGAGGAGGCUCGAAAAGGAAAUAAACCUUCUAAUACUUUCAAAGCAGUUUCUAUUAAUCGAGUUGUCGACGCCAUUUCUGAAAGAUUCCAAGUCCAAUGCGAUCUGAAGCAUGUGGAAAAUCAUUUGAGGACGAGA